rnacentral:lncRNA from 1 species
UUAGUGAUGUUCAUCUCUAAUUUACUUCGAAUUAAUUGAGAUGCCAGCAUUCAAUCAAGACAUGAAAUUUACUUUCCGAGUCAGAGACCUGUGAAAUUUGAAUCAAAUUCUUCAAAAGUGUCAUUCUGGGUAAAUAUUCAUGAAACAUACCUGAAGAAACUAUCGUCACUCCUUCAGGAGUUUCAUCAGCAAGAGAAGGUGUUUCACUGCAGAAGUUUUCUU